CUUUUUUUCAUUUUCCUUGAAAGUUUGGGUCAAUUUCAUUGCAAUUUAAAUGGAAAUAUGCCCGCACGUCUAUCUCAAUGCAAUUUAAGUCUGGGUCAAUCCAACAUUAGGCAGUAUUUUUUCAGCUACUUACUGAACCGGAGUUGAGGACAAAUGAUCUAAGGUCAGGGAUAUAUCACUUCCAGCCUGAGACCAUCGUGUUUACGGACCUGGAAGAACUGACUUGAUUAUAUCUCCACCCUCUUUUCACAGCCAAGUUGUUUCUAUGCAAGUUGUAGUUGUUCUCUGAAUAAUUUUCAGCACGGAAAAAUAAAGAUGUGUGCAUCUCCGUACAUAUAUGCAUAUCAUAUAUAUGUGAUCUUAUAAUUCAGACCAGAGUCAUAGAAAUAAUAUGGUGUAUGUAAGCUCUCUGGAAGGAAUUUAUUUGUUUCUUGAAAUAAGUUAUCUCUGAACAUUUUUGAGAACCUAUAGUAUCUAUGGCCAAUUCUGUUCUUCUCUAUGAAUUGCACAGGUCUGGCCUCUUUCGAAAAAGAAACGUCUACACUUGACAUUUUCAUCUAAUUUUGUUGCUCGAACUUCCUAGCAUCGGAUCAAUAUGUGACAUUGAAUGUGCUCCAUUAUUAAAUCGAAAAACUCAGUUUCGUCCACAUUUUUCUGAAUGCAUCACUUGGCGACAUUUUUGCUCAUUAUGUGGAUGCAUGGAGGUCAUGAUACUCUGAAUUAUCACAGGGUAGCAGCAUCAUGCAGUAACACUUGGGCAAGCCAUUUAACAACCACUUUUUUUGUAGGCAAACGUAAAACUGAUGUGCUACAGUUGUUAGUGCGGUGCUUGGGAUUUGGCCUGUACGAUUUGUCAAAAUAGAAGAAGAGGUGAAACAGUUCUUAGCUGAGCCUAUAUAUAUAUUUAUUGGUAUACUAUGUCUAUGUAGUCACCUUGAUGAGAAUUGUUAAUUGGCUGGCUGGUACCAGGUUCCAAAAUAAUUAUUUAUAUAUUGUAUAAAAAUGCAAUUCUUGUCUAAUGUCAUUGAUCAGGUUACUGUCUAACUGCAUUGAUCAGGGUUAUUGUCUAAUGGCAUCGAUCAAGGUUAUUGCCAACCAAGCUGAUAACUUAACAUGUAAUUCUUGUCUAAUGGCAUUGAUCAGGGUUAUUGGCAAACAAGCAAGUAAAUAUUUAGGAGAUAACUACAUUUCUGCAGAUGAGAGUUAUUGGCAAACAACCUGCUAGACUCUGAUCUGGUGGACACCUUGAUAAGAAUUUGUGUAUGGCCAUGUAUAGUAUGAAGAAGACGACCAGAAUAUUAAGUUGGAGUUGGUCUCAGUCAGUUGUGCCAAGUCGUGGAAGACUGCAGGUAAUAUGGAUUUGAAGGACUGCGACGAUGUGUAAGUUGUUCCUCUUGUGACAAGAGGCUGUUCAAAGGAAGGGGAGAUGCGUGUGGCCUGGGUGACUCAGGCCACCGUUCAGGGAUUGCUGAUGAUAGGUUUGACUUCGAUCCAAGCUCUUCAAAAUUGCUAGGAGGAAAUGGGAAGAUCUGUAGCAAAGCAUGAGCAUUUUGCUGAACCGGAUUCUUGAUGUGUACACUUCGAGGCAAACGUUAAACUGAAGUGCUACAGUUGCGGUGCUUGGGAUUUGGCAUGUACUCUGAAUUCAAAUGCGCCGUUGAUGCGUGCCUUCCUCGCCCUGCAGCCCUGUCUUGGAAGGUGGGUAAGAACUAUUCUACUGAGUGCAGGAUGCAGGGCAAAAACAUCCAGUAAACUACUUUUCUUGAGCCCAGGAUGGGAUGCAACAACAGAUGGUUGACCAUGAUUUUUAUCCUAUCGCCCACGUUUAAGUGCCGCAUGUGGAUUCUCUAAUUCUUUAUUUCAUCAUGUCACAUGCCUGUAGGUAUUUUCAUAGUUUAUAGGAGAUACAUGAUGCCACAAAUGGAAUGAUGAAAUCUUUGAUUGGAUUAUUCAUGGCAGUACUAUCCCUCACAUAUAGUCUAUCUUAUCAGGAGCAGCUUGACUAAAACUAUGGUAUGGACAAUUUGGAUGAUGCACAGAGGGGCUAAAUGUCUUAGCAAUAUACUAAAAAAGCUUGCAGUCUGAAGUACAAAUGUUAUUUCUUUUUAUCAGCUUUAAUGUUUGAUAACGAAUAACCAUGAUAAUUAAGUGAGUGGAUCCCUCAUUGAACAUAACAAACGUUUCAUACUUUCCUAAUACUGGAUAUACGUGAGAUUUGUGCAUAUUUACUUACUUUCUGUGAAAACUACAUGGUACACAUUUCUUGCUACAAUGGCAUGCAUGCUAAAAAAUCUCAGUUACCACUGUAUAAUUCCAAUUCGGAUUAGAACAUGUGCAUCGCACAAUUUAAUUGGCUCACUACGGUCUUAACCUUCUAACGAAAACAGGAAACGCUCAUAAUCUUUGGUUAUUUGUCCUCACAGUUUUUUUCUUGAGCAGAGCUUCCUCGGGUGAUGCUGAUGAAGGCAACCUACUCAGAACUUGAAAAAAAGAUUGUGAUAAGAAGGGGUGGAGCUGGGUAUGCAACAGACAAGAAUGAUGGCCCCCUUGUUUUGUUUUUGGUAACCCACUUCAUUCACUGCUGCACUUGUUGGUUCGACCCAUAGUCUCUGUGGAUUCAGUUCUUGAUGUCAGCAAAUAUUUUUUUGUCCAUCAGAUGUGUGUGAGUGCAUAAUCAAUAGUUUUCCUCUUUUUUGUACCUUCUUAAUUUAUACAGGCCAUUUGUCACAAAGUUAAACUGUCAUUCCUUAUAUCAUCAUGGAAUAUGUUUGUGUAUUUUUUCUUAGCUUAAGCAAGUGCAUAUAGACAUGUUAACUAAUAUUCAUAGAGCAGCGCAAAAAAGGAAGCGCAAAAAAGGAAGAUAUGUUGGUGGUUCAGAUUUUUCAUCCGACAUGCAGUAAGGAUAAAUGGGAUGAAUUUCAAGUUUGAUCGCCCUUUGGAUAUAUUUACGGUGUUGUCUUCUCACCACCUCAUAUUUAUGAGUUUUGGUGGCACCGAUAACUUCAUAGGUGUAGUAAAAUUCGUUGGUCAAAUACUCUUUUACCUGAAGGAACUAUUAGAGUAUAGAACAAAUUCAGGAACUGAAGUUGAUAUAUUCAGGCAGGGUAUAUUUUUUUUACAUAUAUGCUUGUACUACCAUCUUUUUUAGGUAGAUAUGAUGUAAGGUAGAACAAAAGUUUGCGCCUGCUCAAACUGCAACAACUUGCAUAUGCAACCUGGUGAAUUGAUGUCGAAUAACUCCCUACAAUAUUUUCUUUAACAUAUUCUAGCCGAAGCUCUCAAAGGCACAACACGCAAGCUUAUGAAUAUCGAUUGGGAUGUUAGUGUGGAGAUCAAACACGAUGUGCUCAGGAAAUUCUUAAUAUGUUAGUGUUCUUUAAGCGUACCACCCUUUAGAUUGAUGAACUAUGUGUGUUCAUAUUGUAUUCUAUAAGGAGAUACAAUUGUACAAAAUCUAGCAUCAGCUUGAUUUAGAGGGAUAAAUCUCUGAGAAAUGUACUAAUGUUUUAUAUUUGAUAUUUGGGAGCUUGUAAUGUAUUCUUGAUUCAGUUUAUGUCAGUCAAGAUACACAUUGGGCAUGCAAGAUAUCAUUGGUUUAUG